rnacentral:rRNA from 1 species
UACGAGGGGGGCAGCGUUGCUCGGAAUUAUUGGGCGUAAAGGGCGCGUAGGCGGCCAGGUAAGUUUGAUGUGAAAUCCCACGGCUUAACCGUGGAAUUGCAUCUUAUACUGCCUGGCUGGAGUCUGGGAGAGGGAAGCGGAAUUCCCGGUGUAGCGGUGAAAUGCGUAGAUAUCGAGAGGAACACCAGUGGCGAAGGCGAGUCCCUGGACGACUCCUGACACUGAGGCGCGAAAGCUAGGGGAGCAAACAGG